rnacentral:rRNA from 1 species
GGCGGCAGGCCUAACACAUGCAAGUCGAGCGGAUGAAGAGAGCUUGCUCUCUGAUUCAGCGGCGGACGGGUGAGUAAUGCCUAGGAAUCUGCCUGGUAGUGGGGGACAACGUCUCGAAAGGGACGCUAAUACCGCAUACGUCCUACGGGAGAAAGCAGGGGACCUUCGGGCCUUGCGCUAUCAGAUGAGCCUAGGUCGGAUUAGCUAGUUGGUGAGGUAAUGGCUCACCAAGGCGACGAUCCGUAACUGGUCUGAGAGGAUGAUCAGUCACACUGGAACUGAGACACGGUCCAGACUCCUACGGGAGGCAGCAGUGGGGAAUAUUGGACAAUGGGCGAAAGCCUGAUCCAGCCAUGCCGCGUGUGUGAAGAAGGUCUUCGGAUUGUAAAGCACUUUAAGUUGGGAGGAAGGGUUGUAGAUUAAUACUCUGCAAUUUUGACGUUACCGACAGAAUAAGCACCGGCUAACUCUGUGCCAGCAGCCGCGGUAAUACAGAGGGUGCAAGCGUUAAUCGGAUUACUGGGCGUAAAGCCGCGCGUAGGU